UAAAAUCUUUCGAUCUCGAGAUGGACUUCAGUUAACCUUGGGACCUCAAGAGUAAAAUAAACGCACUAGCCCAAUCCUCGAACAUCACAGCAACCUACCCGCAAAUUUGAAGGCAGCAAAGUGUUCAGGCUAAACAUUCGCAUCAUUUUGAGAUGGUGUUUUCCCAAUAAGACAAGCUCUCUACAUCCGCUUCUUUCGUUCCAAAUUAAUUUUUUUCUCGUUGGGUUAUGUAAAAUCUUCAACUGUAAUAAAUCACAUUGACGACAGAUUUUCCCGCCAUUUUUGGGGUAUUACCUCUCCCACGUUUUUGGGGUAUUGCCUCUCCCACGUUUUGGGGGUAUUGCCUCUCCCACGUUUUUGGGGUAUUGCCUCUCCCACGUUUUUGGGGUAUUGCCUCUCCCACGUUUUGGGGGUAUUGCCUCUCCCACGUUUUUGGGGUAUUGCCUCUCCCACGUUUUUGGGGUAUUGCCUCUCCCACGUUUUUGGGGUAUUGCCUCUCCCACGUUUUUGGGGUAUUGCCUCUCCCACGUUUUGGGGGUAUUGCCUCUCCCACGUUUUGGGGGUAUUGCCUCUCCCACGUUUGAGAGUCUCCGCACCACGAAAUAUAAUGUUACAACUUUUAAAAGUCGCUUUUCACGCUGUUUGAUUUGUCUAGAGUCUUUUACGAGGGCAGACUACCACAAAAAUGGCGGGUUUAGGCCUAAUUUAUGACACUUUCUUAUAUUUGAUCAAAUGUCAAAUGACAUCUUCGUUCACAGAGCUUCUCGUGGCA